CCAGAUUUUUAUAUAUUGUUUCACAUAAAUAUAUUAAAAAUGAAGGCGAUAUUCUUCAUCUUCGUCGCAGUUCUGUGGUAUAACGUGGAGAGUGCCAAGAUUCGGGUAACCCGCAGGCAAUGGAUCCAAUAUCAACCACCCAACCGAAAUAUAUUUCCUGUCCAAAAUCAAUACUACAAAUAUCCGAAUCAAAACC